rnacentral:rRNA from 1 species
CCUACGGGAGACUGCAGUUGAGAAUCAUUCACAAUGGGGGAAACCCUGAUGGUGCGACGCCGCGUGGGGGAAUGAAGGUCUGCGGAUUGUAAACCCCUGUCAUGUGGGAGCAAAGUAAAAAGAUAGUACCACAAGAGGAAGAGACGGCUAACUCGGUGCCAGCAGCCGCGGUAAUACAGAGGUCUCAAGCGUUGUUCGGAAUCACUGGGCGUAAAGGGUGCGGAGGCUGUUUCGUAAGUCGUGUGUGAAAGGCGCGGGCUCAACCCGCGGACGGCACAUGAAACUGGGAGACUAGAGUAAUGGAGGGGGAACCGGAAUUCGCGGUGUAGCAGUGAAAUGCGUAGAUAUCGAGAGGAACACUCGUGGCGAAGGCGGGUUCCUGGACAUUAACUGACGCUGAGGCACGAAGGCGAGGGGAGCGAAAGGGAUUAGAUACCCUAGUAGUC